AAACUGUGUUGUGGGCAUGAACUGAAAACAUCCUUGAACCGCUCCCAACAUUGGAAGAAUGUUUCAUCUUCCUUUUUGAGCGAAGUUCAUGAUCGACUUUCUAAGCGU